GACGAACGCUGGCGGCGUGCCUAAUACAUGCAAGUAGAACGCACAGUUUAUACCGUAGCUUGCUACACCAUAAACUGUGAGUUGCGAACGGGUGAGUAACGCGUAGGUAACCUGCCUGGUAGCGGGGGAUAACUAUUGGAAACGAUAGCUAAUACCGCAUAAUAUUAAUUAUUGCAUGAUAAUUGAUUGAAAGAUGCAAUUGCAUCACUACCAGAUGGACCUGCGUUGUAUUAGCUAGUAGGUGAGGUAACGGCUCACCUAGGCGACGAUACAUAGCCGACCUGAGAGGGGGAUCUGCCAAACUGGGACUGAGACACGGCCCAGACUCCUACGGGAGGAAGCAGUAGGGAAUCUUCGGCAAUGGACGAAAGUCUGACCGAGCAACGCCGCGUGAGUGAAGAAGGUUUUCGGAUCGUAAAGCUCUGUUGUAAGAGAAGAACGGGUGUGAGAGUGGAAAGUUCACACUGUGACGGUAUCUUACCAGAAAGGGACGGCUAACUACGUG
rnacentral:rRNA from 1 species